rnacentral:rRNA from 1 species
UACGAAGGGGGCUAGCGUUGUUCGGAAUCACUGGGCGUAAAGCGCGCGUAGGCGGGUCGUUAAGUCAGGGGUGAAAUCCCGAGGCUCAACCUCGGAACUGCCUUUGAUACUGGCGACCUGGAGUCCGGGAGAGGUGAGUGGAACUCCUAGUGUAGAGGUGAAAUUCGUAGAUAUUAGGAAGAACACCAGUGGCGAAGGCGGCUCACUGGCCCGGUACUGACGCUGAUGCGCGAAAGCGUGGGGAGCAAACAGGG